GUGUCAGCAGCCGCGGUAAUACGUAGGGUGCAAGCGUUGUCCGGAAUUAUUGGGCGUAAAGAGCUCGUAGGCGGUUUGUUGCGUCGGCUGUGAAAUCCCGAGGCUCAACCUCGGGUCUGCAGUCGAUACGAGCAAACUAGAGUGUUGCAGGGGAGACUGGAAUUCCUGGUGUAGCGGUGAAAUGCGCAGAUAUCAGGAGGAACACCGGUGGCGAAGGCGGGUCUCUGGGCAACAACUGACGCUGAGGAGCGAAAGCGUGGGGAGCGAACAGGAUUAGAUACCCUGGUAGUCCACGCCGUAAACGUUGGGCGCUAGGUGUGGGGCUCAUUCCACGAGUUCCGUGCCGCAGCUAACGCAUUAAGCGCCCCGCCUGGGGAGUACGGCCGCAAGGCUAAA
rnacentral:rRNA from 1 species